rnacentral:rRNA from 1 species
GUCGAGAAUCUUUCACAAUGGGGGCAACCCUGAUGGAGCGACGCCGCGUGGAGGAUAAGGUCUUCGGAUUGUAAACUCCUGUCAUGCGUGAACAAGGUUGCUUGGAUAAUACCUGAGCAAAUUGAUGGUAGCGCAAGAGGAAGAGACGGCUAACUCUGUGCCAGCAGCCGCGGUAAUACAGAGGUCUCAAGCGUUGUUCGGAAUAACUGGGCGUAAAGGGUGCGUAGGUGGCGUGGCAAGUAAGAUGUGAAAUCACGGGGCUCAACGUCGGAACUGCAUCCGAUACUGCCAUGCUAGAGUACUGGAGGGGUGACUAGAAUUCUCGGUGUAGCAGUGAAAUGCGUAGAUAUCGAGAGGAAUACCAAAGGCGUAGGCAGGUCACUGGACAGUUACUGACACUGAGGCACGAAGGCCAGGGGAGCGAACGGGAUUAGAAACCCCGGUAGUCC